AUUUGACCUCACCUCUAACCUUUUAAUGAAUCUCACUAUAGGGUCGGAAAGUCUCGUCAUGUGACUCGCGAGAAAUAACGUGAAACCGUACUUCCGGGCAGUUGUCAGGAUGGCAUUAUCAAUAAUGUACUAGGCUCGCUACGUUCAAAACCACAUAGACCUUACUACAAAAAGCGAGAGAGCGGUGGAUAACAACUGGGUUUAGAAAAUGUGUUCUAGAUAGAGCUCUGAGUUAUUACAGCGGUUGUUCAAGCGUCAAUACGAGACAUUUUCCAACAAAGUACAGAUAUAAAAGGGCAAACAACACAGCUGGAUAAAGCAUUAUUAAGUCUGCACCUCGUAUAGCUAUGACAAUGAGAGAAAUGUAUCCACCCAGGCAAUCAGAAUAUAGAGUGCAACCCAGAAGGCACCACUUGUGAUUUCAUAGUUUGAAGACCAAUGAACAUGGAAGUGAUUCUCAUCCUUCGAGAUGAAUUAUGGGAAUUAUACUUGGCAUAAAUGAUUGAGCCUUUGUGCCCUCUCUGCAAUAACCAACUAGACAGACUUGUGAAAAUUCAAAUGUCUUCCAUUAGUUUUAUUUUGUUUUUGCUCCAACUGAUCAGUGUAAAGAUGUGCAUGAAUCACCUUUGUAACAAUUUCUUUGACUAGCAACCUUAAAUAAAUGUUCACUUUA